rnacentral:rRNA from 1 species
CAACUUUCAGCAGGGGAAGUCUAGGCUCGCACAUCGAUGAAGAACGCUGCGAACUGCGAUACGUAAUGCGAAAUGCAGAAUUCAGUGAGUCAUCGAAAUUUUGAACGCACAUUGCACUUUCGGGUUAUGCCUGAAAGUAUGCCUGUAUCAGUGUCCGUA